AAGCAUAUCAAUAAGCGGAGGAAAAGAAACCAACAGGGAUUACCUUAGUAACGGCGAGUGAAGCGGUAAAAGCUCAAAUUUGAAAUCUAGCACUUUCAGUGUUCGAGUUGUAAUUUGAAGAAGGUAUCUUUGGAGUUGGCCCCCGUCUAUGUUCCUUGGAACAGGACGUCACAGAGGGUGAGAAUCCCGUGCGAUGGGGAGACCAAUUCUAUGUAAAGUUCCUUCGAAGAGUCGAGUUGUUUGGGAAUGCAGCUCUAAGUGGGUGGUAAAUUCCAUCUAAAGCUAAAUAUUGGCGAGAGACCGAUAGCGAACAAGUACAGUGAUGGAAAGAUGAAAAGAACUUUGAAAAGAGAGUGAAAAAGUACGUGAAAUUGUUGAAAGGGAAGGGCUUUUGAUCAGACUUGGUGUUUAGUACUCUCUACUCCUUGUGGGUGGGGCUCUUGCUUUAUACUGGGCCAGCAUCGGUUUGGAUGGCAGGAUAAUAGCAUUGGAAUGUGGCUUCAUUCGUGAAGUGUUAUAGCCUUUGUUGAUACUGCCUAUCUAGACCGAGGACUGCGUCUUUUGACUAGGAUGCUGGCGUAAUGAUUAAAAGCCGCCCGUCU
rnacentral:rRNA from 1 species